rnacentral:rRNA from 1 species
CCUACGGGAGGCAGCAGUGGGGAAUAUUGCACAAUGGGGGAAACCCUGAUGCAGCGACGCCGCGUGAGCGAUGAAGUAUCUCGGUAUGUAAAGCUCUAUCAGCAGGGAAGAAAAUGACGGUACCUGACUAAGAAGCCCCGGCUAACUACGUGCCAGCAGCCGCGGUAAUACGUAGGGGGCAAGCGUUAUCCGGAUUUACUGGGUGUAAAGGGAGCGUAGACGGUCCUACAAGCCAGAUGUGAAAUCCCGGGGCUCAACCCCGGGACUGCUUUUGAAACUGUGCGGCUAGAGUGGCGGAGGGGCAAGCGGAAUUCCUGGUGUAGCGGGGAAAUGCGUAGAUAUUAGGAGGAACACCAGUGGCGAAGGCGGCCUGCUGGACGGUAACUGACGUUGAGGCUCGAAAGCGUGGGGAGCAAACAGGAUUAGAUACCCUAGUAGUC